rnacentral:rRNA from 1 species
CCUACGGGAGGCAGCAGUAGGGAAUAUUGCACAAUGGGGGAAACCCUGAAGCAGCAACGCCGCGUGGAGGAUGAAGGUUUUAGGAUUGUAAACUCCUUUUGUUAGAGAAGAUUAUGACGGUAUCUAACGAAUAAGCACCGGCUAACUCCGUGCCAGCAGCCGCGGUAAUACGGAGGGUGCAAGCGUUACUCGGAAUCACUGGGCGUAAAGAGUGCGUAGGCGGGGUAAUAAGUCAGAUGUGAAAUCCUGUAGCUUAACUACAGAACUGCAUUUGAAACUGUUACUCUGGAGUGUGGGAGAGGUAGGUGGAAGUCUUGGUGUAGGGGUAAAAUGCGUAGAGAUCAAGAGGAAUACUCAUGGCGAAGGCGACCUGCUGGAACAUUACUGACGCUGAUGCACGAAAGCGUGGGGAGCAAACAGGAUUAGAUACCCUAGUAGUC